AAUAGGAUGGUCGAGUGGUCAAGAUUUCCGCCUGUCAAUGAAAGAACACUUCUUCCAUAGCUCGCGGACGACCGGGGUUCGAUUCCCCGUCUGAGAG